UGGGUCUAAUUCUUGUAAAGGAUCAAACCUGAGAGUUUUUGGAGAGUAUUUUUGCUAUUCCAGCCAACCAACAGAAAAAGCUGCCUAGUCUUGUGAUGGCUGAGCAAAAACUGGCGGAUGCUAGGGAGGAGUACCAUGGAGGAGGAGGAGUGUCCUUGUAAUUAAGCCCAGCCUAUCUGAGGAGAGACUGAAGC